UACGUAGGUGGCAAGCGUUGUCCGGAUUUAUUGGGCGUAAAGAGCUCGUAGGCGGCUCGUUGCGUCGGCUGUGAAAACCCGCAGCUCAACUGUGGGCUUGCAGCCGAUACGGGCGGGCUGGAGUUCGGUAGGGGAGACUGGAAUUCCUGGUGUAGCGGUGAAAUGCGCAGAUAUCAGGAGGAACACCGGUGGCGAAGGCGGGUCUCUGGGCCGAUACUGACGCUGAGGAGCGAAAGCGUGGGGAGCGAACAGG
rnacentral:rRNA from 1 species